GACGAACGCUGGCGGCGUGCUUAACACAUGCAAGUCGAACGGAAAGGCCCUGCUUUUGUGGGGUGCUCGAGUGGCGAACGGGUGAGUAACACGUGAGUAACCUUCCCUUGACUUUGGGAUAACUUCCGGAAACUGGGGCUAAUACCCGAUAGGAGCUCCUGCUGCAUGGUGGGGGUUGGAAAGUUUAGGCGGUUGGGGUUGGACUCGCGGGUUAUCAGCUUGUUGGUGGUGUAGUGGCUUACCAACGCUUUGACGGUUAGCCGGCCUGAGAGGGUGACCGGCCACAUUGGGACUGAGAUACGGCCCAGACUGCUACGGGAGGCAGCAGUGGGGAAUAUUGCACAAUGGGCGGAAGCCUGAUGCAGAAACGCCGCGUGUGGGAUGACGGCCUUCCGGUUGAGAACCGCUUUGGCCUGUGACGAAGCGUGAGUGACGGUAAUGGGUAAAGAAGCACCGGCUAACUACGUG
rnacentral:rRNA from 1 species